AUAAAACAUAAAAUACAAAAGGAAUGGUUUUGCAAUUUAUAUAAAAUAUACAUUUAUUUGAUUCUUCAUAAAACACAAUCAUGAACUCGAAGAUUGUUAUGGCAGGAAAAAUGUUUUGUUUUAUAAUAUUCUCUCUUAAAUGGUCAUUUCUUUUCAUGAUGUCCAUGCAAAUUGUUUAUAUUUCUACCACUAAUUACGAUAUAGUUAAAAUGUACCAAUUAAUGGUACCUUAUAUAAUACCAAAUAAAACGAGACCAAAAGACCUGGAUCAAAUGAACACUUGCGAAUGCCCCAGAGUUUAUUGGCCAGCAUGUGCAACAGAUAAUAUUACAUAUGUCAAUGUGUGCAUAUUACUAUGUUUAAAUAAAACACUGCGACGAUAUGGACCAUGCAUUACUUACCGAAGGAAUUUUAACAAGAAGAUACGCGUCUACGUUCCAUCGAUUUGGAAAGUGCGUAGAAAAAGAGUUCGUAUUUAAAUAGAUACCACUAAAUUGUUUGCUUGUGUAUACUUAGUUCAUUUAGCAAAGAAGAAUAUGUGUUAUGACAUAUAGUAACCAAAUUUUUAAUCAUAGUUUACAAAAUAUUAUAGGAUUUUGCAAAAUUUCAACCAAAAUAGGUAAGUUUUUAUGGUUACUGAAGUUAUUUAAGUAUGUAUGUUAUACUAUAAUAAAAGCAUAUUUUUUACGAUGUGGAUUGAAUGAAGUUAAAAACAUCGGUCAUUUUGACGGUAUGAUCCAUGAACAACGCUGAUUCGAAAAUUAGGACAAUCAAGCGUUGUUAAAAUAGGAAGACCCUCCCGGGUGGCGUUUGUAUUGAUUAAAUAUUGUAUUGAUAUUAAGGUUAGCCAGUUAAUGUUAGUCUUAGUGAUUGGUUCUUUAAUUAAAUAUCAAAUUAUAUUUGAAUAAAAUCUUGUCUUAAAAAUAAA